CAAUAGCGUAUAUUAAAGUUGUUGCGGUUAAAAGCUCGUAGUUGGAGUUCAGAUUGAGCUCGGCCGGUCGGCCUAAUUGGUCAGAACUGGUUGACUCUGUCUUGUUUGUGGAUCCCUCCGGAGUUAACUCUUCGGAUGUGGAGUCCACAUCGUUUACCUUGAAAAAUUAGAGUGUUCAAAGCAGGCGUUUGCUUGAAUAUAUUAGCAUGGAAUAAUGGAAUAGGACGCUGGUUCUAUUUUGUUGGUUUUGAGAACCAGAGUAAUGAUUAAUAGGGACAGUUGGGGGCGAUUCAUAUUUCUAUUGUUCAGAGGUGGAAAUUACUUGGAUUUAUUGAAAGAAUGAACUUCUUGCGAAAGCAUUUGUCCAAGGAAUGUUUUCUAUUAAUCAAGAACGAAAGUUAGGGGAGUCGAAGAUGAUUAGAUACCAU
rnacentral:rRNA from 1 species